GUGCUAGUGAGAACGUUGGACCCUAAGGGGGUGGAUUGUGAAAUCCCACAUCAGUUGUAGAGAGGAACAAAACCUUCCGAUAUGGAAAAGUCUAAAGAGGA